CAUUGGGCAUUGGGCAGGAAAAACUUAACUUUUUCUCCUGCCAUGGGGGGGCGCUCUUUUGGGGAGAAAAAAUUCUUUAACAAAUGUGUUGAUGGCUGAACAUUGCAUUAUCCUAGAAAACUUGGAGGCCAGUGAGGACAAAAACAAAAAGUUAUAAGACUUUUGAAAAUGUGGAUAUUUGGGUCCUCUUUGGCGCCCCCUUGAACGUGAACCGUGGAGUGCAGCGGCAUGAUUUUUACGACUUUUAAUGGCCAUGGGGUGUAGAUUGGCCUGAGCAAAUUUGGUGUCAGUGGGACGAAAGCCUUAGGAGGAGUUAGCCACAUUCCAAUGUGUGCGAAUGGGCAAAAAAAGCAAAAUAGCCCUUUAGCCGUACAUUUUACAGAUACGCGCGCAUUGACUUUUUCGUAGAUCUUAUUGAGAUACACGUGUGUGUCAAAUUUUUUUGUCAAUAUGACAAAGCGUACAGGCGUGAAUCUCAACAAUGUGUAUUUUCACCUUAGGGGACAAGAAAAAAUGGACUUUUUUGUCCUGCCAUGGGGGGGCGCUCUUUUGGGGAGUAAAAAUUCCUUCACAAAUGUGUUGAUGGCUGGACAUUGCAUCAUCCUAGAAAAUUUGGAGGCCAGUGAGGACAAAAAUAAAAAGUUAUAAAACUUUUAAGAAUGUGGAUUUUUGGGUUAUUUUUGGCGCCCCCUAGAACCUAAACCAUGGGGUGCAGCAUCAUGAUUUGUACAACUUUGAAUGGCCAUGGAGUGUAGAUUGGCCUGAGCAAAUGUGGUGCCGGUGGAACGAAAGCCUUCGGAGGAGUUAGCGAAAUUCCAAUGUGUGCGGAUCUGAAAAAAAUGCAAAAUAACCCUUUAACCGUACAUUUGACAGAUACGCCCGCACUGACUUUUUUGUAGAUCUUAUUGAGAUACAUGUGUGUGUCAAUUUUUGUGUCAAUAUGACAAAGCGUACAGGCGUGACAGUCAAUAGUGUGAAUUUUCACCUUAGUGGACAAGAAAAAAUGGACUUUUUUGUCCUGCCAUGGGGGGGCGCUCUUUUGGGGAGUAAAAAUUCCUUCACAAAUGUGUUGAUGGCUGGACAUUGCAUCAUCCUAGAAAACUUGGAGGCCAGUGAGGACAAAAAAAAAAAGUUAUAAAACUUUUAAAAAUGUGGAUUUUUGGGUUAUUUUUGGCGCCCCCUAGAACCUAAACCAUGGGGUGCAGCAUCAUGAUUUGUACAACUUUGAAUGGCCAUGGAGUGUAGAUUGGCCUGAGCAAAUGUGGUGCCAGUGGAACGAAAGCCUUCGGAGGAGUUAGCGAAAUUCCAAUGUGUGCAGAUCUGCAAAAAAUGCAAAAUAACCCUUUAACCGUACAUUUGACAGAUACGCCCGCACUGACUUUUUUGUAGAUCUUAUUGAGAUACAUGUGUGUGUCAAUUUUUGUGUCAAUAUGACAAAGCGUACAGGCGUGACAGUCAAUAGUGUGAAUUUUCACCUUAGUGGACAAGAAAAAAUGGACUUUUUUGUCCUGCCAUGGGGGGGCGCUCUUUUGGGGAGUAAAAAUUCCUUCACAAAUGUGUUGAUGGCUGGACAUUGCAUCAUCCUAGAAAACUUGGAGGCCAGUGAGGACAAAAAAAAAAAGUUAUAAAACUUUUAAAAAUGUGGAUUUUUGGGUUAUUUUUGGCGCCCCCUAGAACCUAAACCAUGGGGUGCAGCAUCAUGAUUUGUACAACUUUGAAUGGCCAUGGAGUGUAGAUUGGCCUGAGCAAAUGUGGUGCCGGUGGAACGAAAGCCUUCGGAGGAGUUAGCGAAAUUCCAAUGUGUGCGGAUCUGCAAAAAAUGCAAAAUAACCCUUUAACCGUACAUUUGACAGAUACGCCCGCACUGACUUUUUUGUAGAUCGUAUUGAGAUACAUGUGUGUGUCAAUUUUUGUGUCAAUAUGACAAAGCGUACAGGCGUGACAGUCAAUAGUGUGAAUUUUCACCUUAGGGGGCGCUAUGGAGCCAUUUUGCAUUUUAUUGUUUGGGCGACUUCAGAAUAUCGAAUUUUUCACCAGGCCCGGUCGUCCUGCCAAAUUUCCUGAGUUUUCGCCAGUGGGAAGUGGGCCAUUUUCCAGUUUAAAGCGGAGGAAAAAUAAUAACUAGGGCCCCGGUGGGGCACUGGCGGGCCCGAGCCGUGUCGCGCCGCCCCCAGCGUGACCGCCUCCCCCUCCCGAUUGCGUCACACUCAAGGUCCAAAGAUGGUGUGCGCACUUGUCUGUGGUCAUUUACAAUUAUAAUGAAUGGGAGGCGCAGUUUCUACCAAAACACUCGCUGCAGACAAACUCCAUGUCCUUUUUGAAAAUAGUCUGGACCAUGAGUGAGGGCACAAACACAGCUAGUAUAUAUCCAAAUGGCAAGUUGCUCCUCCUUUCGGUUUUGCCGGGAGAGCGAUGCGUUUGAGCCAUUGAGCGAUGGGCAGGAAAAACUUGACUUUUUCUCCUGCCAUGGGGGGCGCUCUUUUGGGGAGAAAAAAUUCCUUCACAAAUGUGUUGAUGGCUGGACAUUGCAUCAUCCUAGAAAACUUGGAGGCCAGUGAGGACAAAAAUAAAAGGUUAUUAGACUUUUAAGAAUGUGGAUUUUUGGGUUAUCUUUGGCGCCCCCUAGAACGUAGACCGUGGGGUGCAGCGUCAUGAUUUUUACAACUUUGAAUGGCCAUGGGGUGUAGAUUUGCCUGAGCAAAUUUGGUGCCAAUGGGACGAAAGCCCUAGGAGGAGUUAGCCACAUUCCAAUGUGUGCGGAUCGGCAAAAAAUGCGGAAUAGCCCUUUAACCGUACAUUUUACAGAUACGUGCCUAUUGAGUUUUUCGUAGAUCUGAUUGAGAUACACGUGAUUGUCAAAUUUUGUGUCAAUAUGACAAAGCGUAUAGGUGUGACACUCAACAAUGUGUAUUUUCACCUUAGGGGACAAGAAAAAAUUGCCUUUUUUCUCCUGCCAUGGGGGCGCUCUUUUGGGGAGUAAAAAUUCCUUCACAAAUGUGUUGAUGGCUGGACAUUGCAUCAUCCUAUAAAACUUGGAGGCCAGUGAGGACAAAAUUAAAAAGUUAUAAGACUUUUAAGAAUGUGGAUUUUUGGGUUAUCUUUGGCGCCCCCUAGAACCUAAACCGUGGGGUGCAGCGUCAUGAUUUGUACAACUUUUAAUGGCCAUGGGGUGUAGAUUGGCCUGUGCAAAUGUGGUGCCGGUGGAACGAAAGCCUUAGGAGGAGUUAGCAAAAUUCCAAUGUGUGCGAAUCGGCAAAAAAUACAAAAUAGCCCUUUAACAGUACAUUUUACACUUACGUGCCCGUUGACUUUUUCAUAGAUCUUAUUGAGAUACACAUGUGUGUCAAAUUUUGUGUCAUUUUGACAAAGCGUACAGGUGUCAGGUGAGUUUUCACCAUAGGGGGCGCUAUGGAGCCAUUUUUCAUUUUUUUGUUUGGGCGACUUCAGAAUAUCAAAUUUUUCACCAGGCCCGGUCGUCCUGCCAAAUUUCCUGAGUUUUCGUCAGUGGGAAGUGGGCCAUUUUCCAGUUUAAAGCGGAGGAAAAAUAACGAAAGAAGAAUCCAUCAGGAACAAGAGGGCUCUCGCAGCUGCUGAGCAGCUACGCUCGGGCCCUAACUAGGGCCCCGGUGGGGCACUGGCGGGCCCGAGCCGUGUCGCGCCGCCCCCAGCGCGACCCCCUCCCCCUCCCGAUCGCGUCACACUCAAGGUCCAAAGAUGGUGUGCGCACUUGUCUGUGGUCAUUUACCAUUAUAAUGAAUGCGAGGCGCAGUUUCUACCAAAAUGCUCGCUGCAGACAAACUCCAUGUCCUUUUUGAAAAAAGUCUGGACCAUGAGUGAGGGCACAAACACAGCUUCGAUAUAUCCAAAUGGCAAGUUGCUCCUCCUUUCGGUUUUGCCGAGAGAGCGAUGCGUUUGAGCCAUUGGGCAUUGGGCAGGAAAAACUUAACUUUUUCUCCUGCCAUGGGGGGGCGCUCUUUUGGGGAGAAAAAAUUCUUUAACAAAUGUGUUGAUGGCUGAACAUUGCAUUAUCCUAGAAAACUUGGAGGCCAGUGAGGACAAAAACAAAAAGUUAUAAGACUUUUGAAAAUGUGGAUAUUUGGGUCCUCUUUGGCGCCCCCUUGAACGUGAACCAUGGAGUGCAGCGGCAUGAUUUUUACGACUUUUAAUGGCCAUGGGGUGUAGAUUGGCCUGAGCAAAUUUGGUGUCAGUGGGACGAAAGCCUUAGGAGGAGUUAGCCACAUUCCAAUGUGUGCGAAUGGGCAAAAAAAGCAAAAUAGCCCUUUAGCCGUACAUUUUACAGAUACGCGCGCAUUGACUUUUUCGUAGAUCUUAUUGAGAUACACGUGUGUGUCAAAUUUUUUUGUCAAUAUGACAAAGCGUACAGGCGUGAAUCUCAACAAUGUGUAUUUUCACCUUAGGGGACAAGAAAAAAUGGACUUUUUUGUCCUGCCAUGGGGGGGCGCUCUUUUGGGGAGUAAAAAUUCCUUCACAAAUGUGUUGAUGGCUGGACAUUGCAUCAUCCUAGAAAAUUUGGAGGCCAGUGAGGACAAAAAUAAAAAGUUAUAAAACUUUUAAGAAUGUGGAUUUUUGGGUUAUUUUUGGCGCCCCCUAGAACCUAAACCAUGGGGUGCAGCAUCAUGAUUUGUACAACUUUGAAUGGCCAUGGAGUGUAGAUUGGCCUGUGCAAAUGUGGUGCCGGUGGAACGAAAGCCUUCGGAGGAGUUAGCGAAAUUCCAAUGUGUGGGGAUCUGCAAAAAAUGCGAAAUAACCCUUUAACCGUACAUUUGACAGAUACGCCCGCACUGACUUUUUUGUAGAUCUUAUUGAGAUACAUGUGUGUGUCAAUUUUUGUGUCAAUAUGACAAAGCGUACAGGCGUGACAGUCAAUAGUGUGAAUUUUCACCUUAGUGGACAAGAAAAAAUGGACUUUUUUGUCCUGCCAUGGGGGGGCGCUCUUUUGGGGAGUAAAAAUUCCUUCACAAAUGUGUUGAUGGCUGGACAUUGCAUCAUCCUAGAAAACUUGGAGGCCAGUGAGGACAAAAAAAAAAAGUUAUAAAACUUUUAAAAAUGUGGAUUUUUGGGUUAUUUUUGGCGCCCCCUAGAACCUAAACCAUGGGGUGCAGCAUCAUGAUUUGUACAACUUUGAAUGGCCAUGGAGUGUAGAUUGGCCUGAGCAAAUGUGGUGCCGGUGGAACGAAAGCCUUCGGAGGAGUUAGCGAAAUUCCAAUGUGUGCGGAUCUGCAAAAAAUGCGAAAUAACCCUUUAACCGUACAUUUGACAGAUACGCCCGCACUGACUUUUUUGUAGAUCUUAUUGAGAUACAUGUGUGUGUCAAUUUUUGUGUCAAUAUGACAAAGCGUACAGGCGUGACAGUCAAUAGUGUGAAUUUUCACCUUAGUGGACAAGAAAAAAUGGACUUUUUUGUCCUGCCAUGGGGGGGCGCUCUUUUGGGGAGUAAAAAUUCCUUCACAAAUGUGUUGAUGGCUGGACAUUGCAUCAUCCUAGAAAACUUGGAGGCCAGUGAGGACAAAAAAAAAAAGUUAUAAAACUUUUAAAAAUGUGGAUUUUUGGGUUAUUUUUGGCGCCCCCUAGAACCUAAACCAUGGGGUGCAGCAUCAUGAUUUGUACAACUUUGAAUGGCCAUGGAGUGUAGAUUGGCCUGAGCAAAUGUGGUGCCGGUGGAACGAAAGCCUUCGGAGGAGUUAGCGAAAUUCCAAUGUGUGCGGAUCUGCAAAAAAUGCGAAAUAACCCUUUAACCGUACAUUUGACAGAUACGCCCGCACUGACUUUUUUGUAGAUCGUAUUGAGAUACAUGUGUGUGUCAAUUUUUGUGUCAAUAUGACAAAGCGUACAGGCGUGACAGUCAAUAGUGUGAAUUUUCACCUUAGGGGGCGCUAUGGAGCCAUUUUGCAUUUUAUUGUUUGGGCGACUUCAGAAUAUCGAAUUUUUCACCAGGCCCGGUCGUCCUGCCAAAUUUCCUGAGUUUUCGCCAGUGGGAAGUGGGCCAUUUUCCAGUUUAAAGCGGAGGAAAAAUAAUAACUAGGGCCCCGGUGGGGCACUGGCGGGCCCGAGCCGUGUCGCGCCGCCCCCAGCGUGACCGCCUCCCCCUCCCGAUUGCGUCACACUCAAGGUCCAAAGAUGGUGUGCGCACUUGUCUGUGGUCAUUUACAAUUAUAAUGAAUGGGAGGCGCAGUUUCUACCAAAACACUCGCUGCAGACAAACUCCAUGUCCUUUUUGAAAAUAGUCUGGACCAUGAGUGAGGGCACAAACACAGCUAGUAUAUAUCCAAAUGGCAAGUUGCUCCUCCUUUCGGUUUUGCCGGGAGAGCGAUGCGUUUGAGCCAUUGAGCGAUGGGCAGGAAAAACUUGACUUUUUCUCCUGCCAUGGGGGGGCGCUCUUUUGGGGAGAAAAAAUUCCUUCACAAAUGUGUUGAUGGCUGGACAUUGCAUCAUCCUAGAAAACUUGGAGGCCAGUGAGGACAAAAAUAAAAGGUUAUUAGACUUUUAAGAAUGUGGAUUUUUGGGUUAUCUUUGGCGCCCCCUAGAACGUAGACCGUGGGGUGCAGCGUCAUGAUUUUUACAACUUUGAAUGGCCAUGGGGUGUAGAUUUGCCUGAGCAAAUUUGGUGCCAAUGGGACGAAAGCCCUAGGAGGAGUUAGCCACAUUCCAAUGUGUGCGGAUCGGCAAAAAAUGCGGAAUAGCCCUUUAACCGUACAUUUUACAGAUACGUGCCUAUUGAGUUUUUCGUAGAUCUGAUUGAGAUACACGUGAUUGUCAAAUUUUGUGUCAAUAUGACAAAGCGUAUAGGUGUGACACUCAACAAUGUGUAUUUUCACCUUAGGGGACAAGAAAAAAUUGCCUUUUUUCUCCUGCCAUGGGGGCGCUCUUUUGGGGAGUAAAAAUUCCUUCACAAAUGUGUUGAUGGCUGGACAUUGCAUCAUCCUAUAAAACUUGGAGGCCAGUGAGGACAAAAUUAAAAAGUUAUAAGACUUUUAAGAAUGUGGAUUUUUGGGUUAUCUUUGGCGCCCCCUAGAACCUAAACCGUGGGGUGCAGCGUCAUGAUUUGUACAACUUUUAAUGGCCAUGGGGUGUAGAUUGGCCUGUGCAAAUGUGGUGCCGGUGGAACGAAAGCCUUAGGAGGAGUUAGCAAAAUUCCAAUGUGUGCGAAUCGGCAAAAAAUGCAAAAUAGCCCUUUAACAGUACAUUUUACACUUACGUGCCCGUUGACUUUUUCAUAGAUCUUAUUGAGAUACACAUGUGUGUCAAAUUUUGUGUCAUUUUGACAAAGCGUACAGGUGUCAGGUGAGUUUUCACCAUAGGGGGCGCUAUGGAGCCAUUUUUCAUUUUUUUGUUUGGGCGACUUCAGAAUAUCAAAUUUUUCACCAGGCCCGGUCGUCCUGCCAAAUUUCCUGAGUUUUCGUCAGUGGGAAGUGGGCCAUUUUCCAGUUUAAAGCGGAGGAAAAAUAACGAAAGAAGAAUCCAUCAGGAACAAGAGGGCUCUCGCAGCUGCUGAGCAGCUACGCUCGGGCCCUAAUAAUAACAAAAGAAGAAUCCAUCAGGAACAAGAGGGCUCUCGCAGCUGCUUAGCAGCUACGCUCGGGCCCUAAAAAGAAACAAAGAAAAACCACUUGGGGAAUAAUAGGGCUCUCGCAGCUGCUUAGCAGCUACGCUCGGGCCCUAAUAACGAAAGAAGAAUCCAUCAGGAACAAGAGGGCUCUCGCAGCUGCUUAGCAGCUACGCUCGGGCCCUAAUAACAAACUAGGGCCCCGUUGGGGCACUGGCGGGCCCGAGCUGUGUCGCCCCCCC